AUGGGUAAAGCAAGGCAGUGUGCCAAAACUCAAAUAGUUGAGCUAUUUUACAGAUCAUGAGAGAACAAUCUAACAUAAAAGAAACUAAUUGAUAAAAAACAGAACAUAAACCAGAUUUGCUAGAGAAAACACAUGAACGAACUAAUCUAAUGGAUACUUGAACAUGACAAUAGAAAGCAUCUCCAAAGUUCAGCAAACUCACAAAUCAGACUAAAAGAGUCAUAGUCCUCAACUUAUACAUAUUAUCCUAAGCCUAAGAACACUCUUAAAUCCAAACAGCAUUCAAACAACACCCCAAAUCCAAACCUUAAGACGAAAUGUAAUAUUAAUAACAUGAAUGAAAUAUACAUAGUAAAGCUAAACUAAAGGAUACAUGGACAAAAUAUAACAGAUUCGAGCAAUUAUUUAACAACAGAAAACUAGCAUUUGUCAUUUUUCUCCAACUUUGAUUACAUGGCUUUACAUUUGCACUUCAUAUGCUACUCAAGAUCCAAGGCAUACCUAGGAAUCAAAACAAAACAAUGAGGAUGAGGGAAUAGUAGCAGCAGCAGCAAGACAACAGCAAUAUAACAGUACAGAAUCAGCAGAUCAGCCUCAAACUCUCGACCCAAUUCCAAACAUUUUAAACCCAGAUGCACUAUUCCAUUGAACUUUUGAAAUUCUGACUUAUCAAAGGGAAUUAGAACCAACAACCAAGCAAAUUUUGAGCAAUUUUCAGUAUUUGGAGUUUGAAAGAAAACUGAGUCGUUUCUACGUUUUUCAGUGUUUUUUCAGUCUCUAAAAUCUGACUGGAUUAGGAAGUAACAACCUUUUAUAGAGAAGCUCUAGGGCAGCAGAAAAUGGUUCAGAUUUUGCCCAUUACUCCUUUUCAAAUUUUUGUUUUUGCUAGUGAAUCCCUGAAUUUUUAACGUGUUUGCUAGGUCAGUCCCUUUUCCACUUUCGAGGAAAUUUCCUAAGUCAGUUAUGAGAGAUUCCCUAAACUAAAAACCCUGAAUUAACCUUCAAGCUUAUGUUAUUUACCUUCAAGACCACAUGGGUCAAAUUGACCCAAAGUUCAGCCCCAAACCUGGGCUUGCAAAAACCCGGACUGACCCCUCCUUUUUGGGCCUCUGUUUGACAAAGCCCAAAUCCCAUUCAAAAUCAAAACUCACAAAAUUAAUGGGCUAAAUUGAGUUUCCAAAAUCAGAGUUCUUUUAAAAAAUGAAAUAAACAAAAGAGCAUGGAUUCAUUGAAACUAACACAAAAAUUAAAAACAAACAUGAACUAACAAGUUUUAUAUUUUAAACAUGCAAACAGAGACUAAUUCGAAACAGAAGAGUAGUGAAGAAAAAACAAAAAGGAAACAGAAAAAUAGGAAGAAUGGGGAGAGAAGAUAACAAAGGCGAGGAAAGAAAUGGAACAGAGGUACCUAAAACAGAUGAACGUUUGACUUGACAGAACUCCAGCGUCCCCGAUUUGACCCAAAAUUUGUAUUAAACGCAUGUUCAUCCUGAGAACAAACGAAUAAUACUAGUCUUAGGCUUAAUUUUUCCGGAAACUCGAAGACUUGGAAGAAUUUUCCAUUUUUCUUCUUCUCUUUUUUUUUAGAUCCAAAAACUGGCUGGAUUUGGUGAUGAUUUUGGGGAUAUUAGUGUUAGAGUUGUGUUUCAAGAGGUGUGGGAAUUGUGUGGUUCAAGUUUGGGGUUGAUUGGAAGCCGCAGCCGGCCAGAGAUGAUGAAAGAUUUCAAGGGCGGCGCUAGGGUUGGAGGGUCUAUGAAGGAGGAGAUGAAAUGAAGAGAUGAAACAGG
rnacentral:lncRNA from 1 species